rnacentral:rRNA from 1 species
CAGUCGCCGCGGGAAUACGAAGGGGGCUAGCGUUGUUCGGAUUUACUGGGCGUAAAGCGCACGUAGGCGGAUCGAUCAGUCAGGGGUGAAAUCCCAGAGCUCAACUCUGGAACUGCCUUUGAUACUGUCGAUCUGGUGUAUGGAAGAGGUGAGUGGAAUUCCGAGUGUAGAGGUGAAAUUCGUAGAUAUUCGGAGGAACACCAGUGGCGAAGGCGGCUCACUGGUCCAUUACUGACGCUGAGGUGCGAAAGCGUGGGGAGCAAACAGGAUUAGAUACCCCCGUAGUCCCUGUCUCUUAUAC